GAUGAACGCUGGCGGCGUGCCUAAUACAUGCCAGUCGAGCGAACAGAUGAGGAGCUUGCUCCUCUGACGUUAGCGGCGGACGGGUGAGUAACACGUGGAUAACCUACCUAUAAGACUGGGAUAACUUCGGGAAACCGGAGCUAAUACCGGAUAAUAUAUUGAACCGCAUGGUUCAAUAGUGAAAGACGGUUUUGCUGUCACUUAUAGAUGGAUCCGCGCCGCAUUAGCUAGUUGGUAAGGUAACGGCUUACCAAGGCAACGAUGCGUAGCCGACCUGAGAGGGUGAUCGGCCACACUGGAACUGAGACACGGUCCAGACUUCUACGGGAGGCAGCAGUAGGGAAUCUUCCGCAAUGGGCGAAAGCCUGACGGAGCAACGCCGCGUGAGUGAUGAAGGUCUUCGGAUCGUAAAACUCUGUUAUUAGGGAAGAACAAAUGUGUAAGUAACUAUGCACGUCUUGACGGUACCUAAUCAGAAAGCCACGGCUAACUACGUG
rnacentral:rRNA from 1 species